rnacentral:rRNA from 1 species
GACGGGUGAGUAACACGUGGGUAACCUGCCUGUAAGACUGGGAUAACUCCGGGAAACCGGGGCUAAUACCGGAUGCUUGUUUGAACCGCAUGGUUCAGACAUAAAAGGUGGCUUCGGCUACCACUUACAGAUGGACCCGCGGCGCAUUAGCUAGUUGGUGAGGUAACGGCUCACCAAGGCAACGAUGCGUAGCCGACCUGAGAGGGUGAUCGGCCACACUGGGACUGAGACACGGCCCAGACUCCUACGGGAGGCAGCAGUAGGGAAUCUUCCGCAAUGGACGAAAGUCUGACGGAGCAACGCCGCGUGAGUGAUGAAGGUUUUCGGAUCGUAAAGCUCUGUUGUUAGGGAAGAACAAGUGCCGUUCAAAUAGGGCGGCACCUUGACGGUACCUAACCAGAAAGCCACGGCUAACUACGUGCCAGCAGCCGCGGUAAUACGUAGGUGGCAAGCGUUGUCCGGAAUUAUUGGGCGUAAAGGGCUCGCAGGCGGUUUCUUAAGUCUGAUGUGAAAGCCCCCGGCUCAACCGGGGAGGGUCAUUGGAAACUGGGGAACUUGAGUGCAGAAGAGGAGAGUGGAAUUCCACGUGUAGCGGUGAAAUGCGUAGAGAUGUGGAGGAACACCAGUGGCGAAGGCGACUCUCUGGUCUGUAACUGACGCUGAGGAGCGAAAGCGUGGGGAGCGAACAGGAUUAGAUACCCUGGUAGUCCACGCCGUAAACGAUGAGUGCUAAGUGUUAGGGGGUUUCCGCCCCUUAGUGCUGCAGCUAACGCAUUAAGCACUCCGCCUGGGGAGUACGGUCGCAAGACUGAAACUCAAAGGAAUUGACGGGGGCCCGCACAAGCGGUGGAGCAUGUGGUUUAAUUCAAGCAACGCGAAGAACCUUACCAGGUCUUGACAUCCUCUGACAAUCCUAGAGAUAGGACGUCCCCUUCGGGGGCAGAGUGACAGGUGGUGCAUGGUUGUCGUCAGCUCGUGUCGUGAGAUGUUGGGUUAAGUCCCGCAACGAGCGCAACCCUUGAUCUUAGUUGCCAGCAUUCAUUGGGCACUCUAAGUGACUGCCGGUGACAAACCGGAGGAAGGUGGGGAUGACGUCAAAUCAUCAUGCCCCUUAUGACCUGGGCUACACAAGUGCUACAAUGGACAGACAAGGGC